GUCGAACGGCAGCACAGAAGAGCUUGCUCUUUGGGUGGCGAGUGGCGGACGGGUGAGUAAUGUCUGGGAAACUGCCCGAUGGAGGGGGAUAACUACUGGAAACGGUAGCUAAUACCGCAUAACGUCGCAAGACCAAAGUGGGGGACCUUCGGGCCUCACACCAUCGGAUGUGCCCAGAUGGGAUUAGCUAGUAGGUGGGGUAAUGGCUCACCUAGGCGACGAUCCCUAGCUGGUCUGAGAGGAUGACCAGCCACACUGGAACUGAGACACGGUCCAGACUCCUACGGGAGGCAGCAGUGGGGAAUAUUGCACAAUGGGCGCAAGCCUGAUGCAGCCAUGCCGCGUGUAUGAAGAAGGCCUUCGGGUUGUAAAGUACUUUCAGCGGGGAGGAAGGCGGUGAGGUUAAUAACCUUGCCGAUUGACGUUACCCGCAGAAGAAGCACCGGCUAACUCCGUGCCAGCAGCCGCGGUAAUACGGAGGGUGCAAGCGUUAAUCGGAAUUACUGGGCGUANAGCGCACGCAGGCGGUCUGUUAAGUCAGAUGUGAAAUCCCCGGGCUUANCCUGGGAACUGCAUUUGAAACUGGCAGGCUUGAGUCUCGUAGAGGGGGGUAGAAUUCC
rnacentral:rRNA from 1 species